CCCCAGAUGUUGCUGAACUACAACUCCCAUGAUUCCCAUGCUAUCUGUUUAAUUGAAAGAAUCAUGGGAGUUGUAGUUCAGCAACAUCUGGGG
rnacentral:miRNA from 1 species